rnacentral:rRNA from 1 species
UCCAGACUCCUACGGGAGGCAGCAGUGGGGAAUAUUGCACAAUGGGGGAAACCCUGAUGCAGCGACGCCGCGUGAGUGAAGAAGUAUUUCGGUAUGUAAAGCUCUAUCAGCAGGAACGAGACAAGACGGUACCUGACUAAGAAGCCCCGGCUAACUACGUGCCAGCAGCCGCGGUAAUACGUAGGGGGCAAGCGUUAUCCGGAAUCACUGGGUGUAAAGGGAGCGUAGACGGCAAUACAAGUCGGAAGUGAAAUACCCGGGCUUAACCUGGGAACUGCUUUGGAAACUGUAUGGCUGGAGUGCUGGAGAGGUAAGCGGAAUUCCUAGUGUAGCGGUGAAAUGCGUAGAUAUUAGGAGGAACACCAGUGGCGAAGGCGGCUUACUGGACAGUAACUGACGUUGAGGCUCGAAAGCGUGGGGAGCAAACAGGAUUAGAUACCCGUGUAC